rnacentral:lncRNA from 1 species
AAUUGUGUAAUUAGGAUGAAUCCCCACAUUAAAAUUAAUACAUUAAGAUCAAUUAAGCAAUUUAGGGCGGAUCUUUGCAUUAAAAUUAAUACAUUAAAAUCAAUUGAGUAAUUUAGGGCGAAUCUCCACAAGGGUAUCCCACAAAUAAAGUGGAAUACCUAGCAAGCUACCUGUUCCGGGAGUAUGUGAACCCUUACAAAAUUCAGCAAACGAGUUAGAACAUCGAGACAAAGUGCAAUCGAGAAUUGCACCACAACAGAAAC